rnacentral:rRNA from 1 species
CUACGGAGGGUCCAAGCGUUAUCCGGAUUCAUUGGGUUUAAAGGGUCCGCAGGCGGGAAAAUAAGUCAGUGGUGAAAGCCUACAGCUCAACUGUAGAACUGCCAUUGAUACUGUUUUUCUUGAGUAUAGAUGAAGUGGGCGGAAUAUAUCAUGUAGCGGUGAAAUGCAUAGAUAUGAUAUAGAACACCGAUUGCGAAGGCAGCUCACUAAACUAUUACUGACGCUCAGGGACGAAAGCGUGGGGAGCGAACAGGAUUAGAAACCCCAGUAGUCC